CGGGAGGCAGCAGCAAGGAAUCUUGCGCAAUGGGCGAAAGCUGAACGCAGCAACACCGCGUGGGGGAAGAAGGCCUUCGGGUUGUAAACCCUUUUCCUGGGGAAGAAUAAUGACGGUACCUGGGGAAUAAGCCUCGGCUAACUACGUGCCAGCAGCCGCGGUAAUACGUAGAAGGCUAGCGUUAUCCGGAUUUACUGGGCGUAAAGAGCGCGUAGGCGGUUCUUUAAGUCAGGUGUGAAAUCUCCCGGCUUAUCCGGGAGGGGUCAUCUGAUGCUGAAGGGCUAGAGGACAGUAGAGGGGAGUGGAAUUCCCGGUGUAGUGGUGAAAUGCGUAGAUAUCGGGAGGAACACCCGUGGCGAAGGCGGCUCCCUGGGCUGCACCUGACGCUGAGGCGCGAAASGUGNGGUAGCAAACAGGAUGAGAUACCCUGGUAGUCCACGCCCUAAACGAUGGACACUAGGUAGGGGGGGUAUCGACCCUCUCCGUGCCGGAGCUAACGCUUUAAGUGUCCCGCCUGGGGACUACGGCCACAAGGCUAAAACUCAAA
rnacentral:rRNA from 1 species